rnacentral:misc_RNA from 1 species
CGCAAAGACGGUGACCUUCAGGCGCUUGGCAUCUUUGCUCUUCCGCCAUAUUACAAUCCUUGAUAGAUCUCAAUCCCGAUACCUUCCGAUAUAUGGAACCUGAGUAAUUGAAGAAUAACAGAGAGAAGGAAGCGGGGGGAGAAUCUUAACGAGAGAGAGAGAGAGAGGAAGGAUGAAAGAUGAAAGGAAAGAAAAUUGAAAGAGGAUAAAAGGAAAGAAAAAAAUGAAAAUUUAGAAGAAACAAACGGAAAGAGAGAGAGCAAGGAGCGGAGAAAAGGGACAAAUGAAGA